GCAAACUUGCCGCCGUAGGCGCGGUAGUUGUUAGUAGCGACGAGGAACAUAGCGUUCGGAUCGAUAGGUUUGCC
rnacentral:tRNA from 1 species